GAACCUGCUUCUGAUCCAGCACUAGAGCUUGCACUUGAACCUGCACUUGAUCCGGCACUAGAGCCUGCACUUGAUCCGGCCCCGGAUCCUGCACUAGAGCUAGCACCUGAUCCAGCGCUUGAGCUGCUUCCCGACCCAGAGCCCGAAGCCAAAGCUGAGCCUGACCCUGAACUCGAGCUAGAGCCACCGGUACCACCACCUAAUCCAAUACCGAGUCCUGCCCCAAGCCCAAGCCCGCCCCCUCCCGAGGUUGAGCCUGACCCAGAAGCCGAUGCCGAUCCAGAACCAGAUCCUAUGCCUGGUAUUGAUCCAGAACGAGAGACAGAUGCCGAGCCCGACCCAUAACCGGAACUAGAACCACCACCACCACCUACACCAAUACCGACUCCAACACCAAGUCCAAGACCUAGACCACCUGACCCUGAGCCCGACCCCGAACCAGACCCUGAACCAGAGCCCGACCCUGAUCCGGAACCGGAUCCCGAGCCUGAACCCGAGCCAGAGCCACCACCACCCAAGCCGAUACCAACUCCAAGCCCACCAAGGCCGAGGUUGAGACCAAGGUCCUUCCGAGCAGAGCGGCCCUCACCCACCGGGACAAUUGAUGCACCAGCGACAACUACAACUACGAAAGCAAUGGCCUUAAUGCAAACCAUUGUGCCCGCUGCUCUCUCUAGUCUCUAUCUCAACAGUGAACCAGUGAGUAGGUGA
rnacentral:rRNA from 1 species